UAUGAAAAAGUGUUAAUGCACAUAGUGAUUUGACCACUAAAGUAAGAACUAAUCUUCUUUUUCAUAA
rnacentral:tRNA from 1 species